AUUAGUUUCAAUUUGGUUUGCCUAAAGACUUGGGUUCGACUACUAAGCCACGAUCAAGGUCUACUUUGGUUUAAUCAUAGAUAUGAAUUUGACUAACUAUAAUUAUUGUAUUGAUUCUAAAGAAAUUCUGAUUUAAUCUAGUUCAACUUUUGAUUAGAUUUAAUUAACUUCUCUAUUAAGUCUAUUUGAUUCUAACCUUAGGUCUAACCUAAUUAAGAGGAUGUGAUCAAGCUAACCCAU
rnacentral:lncRNA from 1 species